rnacentral:tRNA from 1 species
GGGCCGAUGGUUUAGCCUGGUAUAACGUCUCGUUGACGUCGAGGAGGUCCCCGGUUCGAAUCCGGGUCGGCCCA